rnacentral:rRNA from 1 species
AGCGAACGCUGGCGGCGUGCCUAACACAUGCAAGUCGAACGUGAAAGGGAGCAAUCCCAAGUAAAGUGGCGUACGGGUGAGUAACACGUAGGUAAUCUACCCCAGAAUCUGGAAUAACCGGCCGAAAGGCUGGCUAAUACUGGAUAGAGCGACGGAAUCCGUAAUUGGGUUUUUCGGGAAAGGGAGCCUGUAAAAAGGCCUUCGUUCUGGGAUGAGCCUGCGUCCCAUCAGCUAGUUGGUGAGGUAAAAGCUUACCAAGGCAAUGACGGGUAGCUGGUCUGGGGGGGCGAUCAGCCACACUGGGACUGGAACACGGUCCAGACUCCUACGGGAGGCAGCAGUGGGGGAUCUUGCGCAAUGGACGAAAGUCUGACGCAGCAACGCCGCGUGAGUGAAGGAGGCCUUCGGGUUGUUAAGCUCUGUCGAGUGGGACGAAAAUGCUUGGAGUUCACAGCUCCAGGAACUGACGGUACCACUAAAGGAAGCACCGGCUAACUCCGUG